rnacentral:rRNA from 1 species
ACUCCUACGGGAGGCAGCAGUGGGGAAUAUUGCACAAUGGGCGCAAGCCUGAUGCAGCAACGCCGCGUGAGGGACGACGGCCUUCGGGUUGUAAACCUCUUUUAGUAGGGAAGAAGCGAAAGUGACGGUACCUGCAGAAAAAGCACCGGUUAACUACGUGCCAGCAGCCGCGGUAAUACGUAGGGUGCAAGCGUUAUCCGGAAUUAUUGGGCGUAAAGAGCUCGUAGGCGGUUUGUCGCGUCUGCUGUGAAAACUGGAGGCUCAACCUCCAGCCUGCAGUGGGUACGGGCAGACUAGAGUGCGGUAGGGGAGAUUGGAAUUCCUGGUGUAGCGGUGGAAUGCGCAGAUAUCAGGAGGAACACCGAUGGCGAAGGCAGAUCUCUGGGCCGUAACUGACGCUGAGGAGCGAAAGCAUGGGGAGCGAACAGGAUUAGAUACCCUGGUAGUCCAUGCCGUAAACGUUGGGAACUAGAUGUAGGGGCCAUUCCACGGUUUCUGUGUCGCAGCUAACGCAUUAAGUUCCCCGCCUGGGGAGUACGGCCGCAAGGCUAAAACUCAAAGGAAUUGACGGGGGCCCGCACAAGCGGCGGAGCAUGCGGAUUAAUUCGAUGCAACGCGAAGAACCUUACCAAGGCUUGACAUAUACCGGAAAAGUUCAGAAAUGUUCUCCCCGCAAGGCCGGUAUACAGGUGGUGCAUGGUUGUCGUCAGCUCGUGUCGUGAGAUGUUGGGUUAAGUCCCGCAACGAGCGCAACCCUCGUUCUAUGUUGCCAGCACGUAAUGGUGGGAACUCAUAGGAGACUGCCGGGGUCAACUCGGA